ensembl:snoRNA
UUUCCCAUUUUAGUACCGCUUUUUUGCCUUUCAAAACAAGCGGCUAUGCUAAUGGGAUAGAGAAAAUUGCUAUGGUCUGAAAGGGAAGUUGAUUUGUUGCAGCUUUCCUCAUAUGAAAUAGCAGUACAUAUUUCA